GCUUAGCCGUAAACUUAGGUAAUUAAAUAACAAAAUUACUCGCCAGGAAACUACUAGCCACUGCUUAAAACUCAAAGGACUUGGCGGUGCCCUAGACCCUCCUAGAGGAGCCUGUUCUAUAAUCGAUAAACCCCGAUACACCUCACCUCUUCUAGCUAAACAGUCUAUAUACCGCCAUCGUCAGCUCACCCCAAUAGGGUUCCAAAGUGAGCAAGAUCAUCAAACCAUAAAAACGUUAGGUCAAGGUGUAGCAUAUGAAGAGGGAAGCAAUGGGCUACAUUUUCUAUACUAGAACAUAACGAAUUGUCUACUGAAACAAAGACAUGAAGGAGGAUUUAGUAGUAAAUUAAGAAUAGAGAGCUUAAUUGAAAUAGGCAAUAGGGUGCGU
rnacentral:rRNA from 1 species